CAAUAGCGUAUAUUUAAGUUGCUGCAGUUAAAAAGCUCGUAGUUGGAUUUCGGGUGGGAAUGGCCGGUCCGCCGUUUCGGUGUGCACUUGCUACGCCCACCUUGCUGCCGAACACGUGCUCUUGAGUUCACGCUCGGGACACGGAGUCGGCGAGGUUACUUUGAGUAAAUUAGAGUGUUCAAAGCAGGCCUACGCUCUGAAUACAUUAGCAUGGAAUAACACGAUAGGACUCUGGCCUAUCUUGUUGGUCUGUAGGACCGGAGUAAUGAUUAAGAGGGACAGUCGGGGGCAUUCGUAUUUCAUUGUCAGAGGUGAAAUUCUUGGAUUUAUGAAAGACGAACUACUGCGAAAGCAUUUGCCAAGGAUGUUUUCAUUAA
rnacentral:rRNA from 1 species